AUGCACUUGGCCGUGCAAGACAGCAAUGAUUGGACAAUGUCGAUUUCAAGAGGGCUUGACUAUUUUGUUGUUUAUCAUAAUCUGUGGCAGCGAGCGUGGUUGCGUGUGUACGUGAAGAAAAGAAUGCCGGUGUUUCAGUUCAUCGCAGGAGGUUGCAGGCCAAGAAACUUGUUUUCCAUUAUUGUACUACUACAUUUGGUGUUAACUUGGGCUGUGUCGUGGCGGUUGAGAAAUGUGUUCUGCAGGUCCUUGAGGGCAUUAGGGCAGGUACAACGGUGUCCAGUCAGCUGUCUGGAAGGGGUGACAGCUAGGAUUUUAGAUGAUGUGGAGGAGAGAGAACAAAGAAAGAGAAACAACCCGUCUGUAGAAUAA
rnacentral:rRNA from 1 species